rnacentral:rRNA from 1 species
GGAAUGCCGAAGAGAUUUGGCAGUGCUCGCAAGAGAACCGGAACACAGGUGCUGCAUGGCUGUCGUCAGCUCGUGUCGUGAGAUGUUGGGUUAAGUCCCGCAACGAGCGCAACCCUUGUCAUUAGUUGCUACGAAAGGGCACUCUAAUGAGACUGCCGGUGACAAACCGGAGGAAGGUGGGGAUGACGUCAAGUCCUCAUGGCCCUUAUGGGUAGGGCUUCACACGUCAUACAAUGGUCGGGACAGAGGGUCGCCAACCCGCGAGGGGGAGCCAAUCCCAGAAACCCGAUCGUAGUCCGGAUCGCAGUCUGCAACUCGACUGCGUGAAGUCGGAAUCGCUAGUAAUCGCGGAUCAGCAUGUCGCGGUGAA